rnacentral:lncRNA from 1 species
CCAAUGUGUGAUGUAACCGAUCCUCCAACUGACAGGAUAUCUGGCUGCUGAGGGAAAGAGCGCCUGUGCAGACAUCUGCCCAGCCAGGAUGCUGCUCUGCUUCUGUACCCAACCACGCUCCUCAGUGAAUCCAGAAGGGCUAGCCUGGGGCACUCUUCAACUUACCCUGUGGGUGCUGUGGACAUGCUGCUUGGCUUCAAGCCAGGCCUGGUGCCAGAGGAGCUUGUCAGCCUCCUGUGACAUGCUGCCCACCCAGGGCCGAGACCUUAGCUCCUUUGGCCUUGAAUCUGUUGGGUGGUCCUGUUCUUUGCUCCCUUGGCAGGUAGGAGAUUGAGUCCCAUGUGCCACACUUAUCCAGGACGCACAUGUUAAGUGCCUGUGUGUGCCCUAGAGUGGGUGGUCCUUAGAAUGGUGUAAGGUGUGGGGUGUCUAGGCAGGAGGGAAGGCUGGGGACCCUGGCCUUCCUAGCCUAGCCCCAGUUCAUCCACACAGAGAAGCCACCCCCACUGAGUCAUCCAUGGGCUUCCCUCAGAGCAGUCUGCCCCACAGUAGGAGUGGAUGAAGCUCCUGGGAAGACAUAAUAAACAUGAGCUGUUCUAAGCUGACCAUU